rnacentral:rRNA from 1 species
UGGGGAAUAUUGCGCAAUGGGCGAAAGCCUGACGCAGCCAUGCCGCGUGUGUGAAGAAGGCCUUCGGGUUGUAAAGCACUUUCAAUUGGGAAGAAAGGUUGCGUGUUAAUAGCACGUAGCUGUGACGUUACCUUUAGAAGAAGCACCGGCUAACUCCGUGCCAGCAGCCGCGGUAAUACGGAGGGUGCGAGCGUUAAUCGGAAUUACUGGGCGUAAAGCGCGCGUAGGCGGUUUGCUAAGUCGGAUGUGAAAUCCCCGGGCUCAACCUGGGAAUGGCAUUCGAUACUGGCCGACUAGAGUACGAGAGAGGGAGGUAGAAUUCCACGUGUAGCGGUGAAAUGCGUAGAUAUGUGGAGGAAUACCGGUGGCGAAGGCGGCCUCCUGGCUCGAUACUGACGCUCAGGUGCGAAAGCGUGGGUAGCAAACAGG